GAUGAACGCUGGCGGCGUGCUUAACACAUGCAAGUCGAACGGGAUCCAAGGGGUGCUUGCACUUUUUGGUGAGAGUGGCGAACGGGUGAGUAACACGUGAGUAACCUGUCCUUUUCUUUGGGAUAAGCAUUCGAAAGGGUGUUUAAUACCUUAUGUUCUGUCUGCCUCGCAUGGGGUGGGUGGGAAAGGCUUUGGCCGGAUUUGGGUGGGCUCGCGGUCUACCAGCUUGUUGGUGGGGUGAUGGCUUACCAAGGCUUUGACGGGUAGCCGGCCUGAGAGGGUGGUCGGUCACAGUGGGACUGAGAUACGGCCCAGACUCCUGCGGGAGGCAGCAGUGGGGGAUAUUGCACAAUGGGCGAAAGCCUGAUGCAGCGACGCCGCGUGGGGGAUGAAGGCCUGCGGGUUGUAAACUUCUGUUGCUCUGAACAAGGCAUGCCAGUGGGUGUGUUGAGUGUAGGGGUGGAUUAGCGCCGGCUAACUACGUG
rnacentral:rRNA from 1 species